GACCGAGUAGCUUCUCCUCCGGCUCAUUGUCAUCGACGAUUACCUGGACAUUAUACGCCGACCGGAAGAAGAGGGUGUUGGCGUACGCGAGGGAGGGGCACACGACGGACAUGACAUCGGAAGAGCAGGAGGAUGAUAAGGACAAUAGGUUUUGCUGGAGUUCAGUUGAGGAGUAGACUAGUGGAGCCCACCGAUCUUUGGUGGCGGCGGUGGCGGAGGAAGAGCGGGAGAGGUGGGACGGCGGAGCAGAGCGUUGUUUUGAGGGCGUGAAGAAAGAGAAGAGGUUGGGUGUGGAUGAGGCGGCCAUUAAUUUUGUGGUUGUGUUCAUAUUCCACUACUCUUUUGUUUCAUACCGUACUUUGGAUAGGGAAUUAUUUUGGGCUCACUAUGUAUCCCUCGAAUUUCUUUCCUUUACCUUUUAAUCCACUACGAAGAUGGUCUAGUUAUGGAUUUGCUGACUCUUGGCAAUGGCAGUACUACUUUGACGUCUAGAUCUUUAUGAGAAAAACCUCUCACUCACUUUCUCCAUUGUAAAUGCAAUUCCGGAGGUAAGAUGGCCAUGUCACCAUCCAAAUUUUUUGUCCGACACUAAACUUUAUGCUAACAAACCAACUAUCCAUCAGGAAAAAUUGCAAUGUAAUUUGAAAAGAGUGAAAGGAAAAGGGUGUCUUCUCCUUUCAGAGGGGAUUUUCAUUGUCUACAACAAAAGGGUAAAUAACUCCAAAACUCGACUAAACAAUAAUAUAGUGCUUAUAGACAAUGGGCCCGUAUGGAUCAAAAGAAAACUUAAGCAGCCUGUAUGCACUAAAACGAAAGCAAACAGCACAAUAUAAGAACAAAUUGACUAAUAAUUAUAGCAAUUCCAAGACUUCAAAAACUUGUCAACUCAAAAACGAGACAAGAAACCACAAAGCAGUUCAAAAUUCACUAAUCGCCCAACUACACACAUUCAUAGACCAAUAUACAGAACAAAUUGAAUAGAAUUCAGCCAACUGAACUGAGAAUGAAAGAGAAAAUAAGAAAUGGAACCUGCGACGAUUGCGCUUGGCAGCCUCGCGAGAUUUGCGCUUCUUCUCUUCCUGCUUGUUCUCGAAGAAGCGGCGGCGCUUGCAUUCCUGAAUGACGCCGGCCCUCAUAACCUCCCGUCGGAACCGACCGAGUAGCUUCUCCUCCGGCUCAUUGUCAUCGACGAUUACCUGGACAUUAUACGCCGACCGGAAGAAGAGGGUGUUGGCGUACGCGAGGGAGGGGCACACGACGGACAUGACAUCGGAAGAGCAGGAGGAUGAUAAGGACAAUAGGUUUUGCUGGAGUUCAGUUGAGGAGUAGACUAGUGGAGCCCACCGAUCUUUGGUGGCGGCGGUGGCGGAGGAAGAGCGGGAGAGGUGGGACGGCGGAGCAGAGCGUUGUUUUGAGGGCGUGAAGAAAGAGAAGAGGUUGGGUGUGGAUGAGGCGGCCAUUAAUUUUGUGGUUGUGUUCAUAUUCCACUACUCUUUUGUUUCAUACCGUACUUUGGAUAGGGAAUUAUUUUGGGCUCAAUAAAGUAGUUUGAUUAGUUGGGCUGACUCAUAUUGGGCCUACAUUACCCAACGAUUGGAAAAGUU
rnacentral:lncRNA from 1 species